AGAGGAACCCCAUCAAACUUGGAUUUUGUAAGUAGUUGCGAAUGAACACAAAUUUGAUCACUUUGGCAAUCUGUACACAUUGCUGUGUAACAAUUUGUAUACGUUGGCACAGUGCUAUCAAAGCUGCAUGCAAGUGUUUUUUGAAAGGAUACAACAUGGGAUGUGAUAUUCAUGUGUGUGUGCCUGCUUUGUCCACAGCCUGUGCUGUAUGAAUCACAUUUCUUGCAACUGAAAUGCUAAUGGCAUGGUAAAGUUCAUGUGACAUGACACAAGCUUGAGAUUCAUGAUGUGCAAGUACCAUGAGGGAAAUGUGAAAAGGACUUUGGAAAGAGAAUUAAAUAAAGCCUGCAUUUGCUGACAAUGAAAGCAAGUGUGGAUGUUCAUGUAAUUGUUACUGCAUCAAUCAAUGUUCAUCUUGGUUACUGCAUGCUUUAUAUUACAGCUCAGAACAUGAAGUGUGUGUAACAGCUCUGCUUUGAUUUUUCCCACAUGGGAUCAGUUGAAACAUUGUGAGAGCACUCUUCAGUUUCCUUAUGUACCCACCAGCUUUGUCCACUCGCGUGUUGGCACACAUGUAAUGAUGAUGUGUUUAUGCAAGAUACUUCUGUGCUCAACAACAUGUUGUGUGAAUCCUCACUUGUCCCG
rnacentral:rRNA from 1 species